CGCGACCCCAGUUCAAGCGGGGCUACUCGCUGAG
rnacentral:rRNA from 1 species